UGGAAGUAAAAGUCGUAACAAGGUCUCCGUUGGUGAACCAGCGGAGGGAUCAUUACCGAGUUUACAACUCCCAAACCCCUGUGAACAUACCACUUGUUGCCUCGGCGGAUCAGCCCGCUCCCGGUAAAACGGGACGGCCCGCCAGAGGACCCCUAAACUCUGUUUCUAUAUGUAACUUCUGAGUAAAACCAUAAAUAAAUCAAAACUUUCAACAACGGAUCUCUUGGUUCUGGCAUCGAUGAAGAACGCAGCAAAAUGCGAUAAGUAAUGUGAAUUGCAGAAUUCAGUGAAUCAUCGAAUCUUUGAACGCACAUUGCGCCCGCCAGUAUUCUGGCGGGCAUGCCUGUUCGAGCGUCAUUUCAACCCUCAAGCACAGCUUGGUGUUGGGACUCGCGUUAAUUCGCGUUCCCCAAAUUGAUUGGCGGUCACGUCGAGCUUCCAUAGCGUAGUAGUAAAACCCUCGUUACUGGUAAUCGUCGCGGCCACGCCGUUAAACCCCAACUUCUGAAUGUGACCUCGGAUCAGGUA
rnacentral:rRNA from 1 species